CCCACCAAAAGAGGCCCAAUUCAAGGCCCACCAAAAAACCUUUUACUGCACGCGAAAUUGAAAUUCUCAAAGAAGGCGUGGACAAAUACGGGCCUAGAUUCAGUAUCAUUGAGAAAUAUUGCGAGUUUACUACGAGAAGGUCUGCAAAAACGUUGAAACAGAAAUACACAAGUUUAAUGCAGGCUACUUGCUAUAAGCCAAAGAAACGAUGUCCGUUCACUGUCCAAGAAGAGG